AGUCGCAAAGAAGCUUCAGAUCCAAUCAAACUAGCUAGCUAGUAGUCCAUAUAUUCAUACAAGCGGCAGCAACCUAGCCACAGCCAGCAAGCAAGAGCUUCUGAAAGGAGAUAGAAGCUGAGGGAGAGAAAAAGAGAGGAGAAGAGCCAGCAGGCUUGCAAAAGUGAGAGAGUGAUAGGGUGAGAGUCAUCAUGCAGUUCGCCACAGGGGCGAUGAGCUCUCUCCUCCCCAAGCUGGGAGAGCUGCUCGUAGAGGAGUACAAGCUGAAGAAGAGUGUGAAGAAGGGGAUUGAAGAACUCAAGGCCGAGCUCGAGAGCAUGCAAGCAGCCCUCAUCAAGGUGUCCAGCGUGCCUCUAGAUCAACUCGACCCGCAGGUCAAGAUUUGGGCCAAUGAGGUCAGGGAGUUGUCCUACGCCAUCGAGGACAGCCUCGACUCAUUCGUGACCCGCGUCGAGGGUAAUGAGCCAACCAAGCCCAAAAUCAAGCACUUGCUGGAGAAGGCCCGCAAUGAGUUCAGCAAGUUCAAGGCACGCCAUGAAAUAGCCAAUGACAUCAAAGACAUUCAGAGCCAAGUUAGAAAGAUCAAGAAACGGCGCGACAGUUACAAGAUAGACGAUGUUGAUGCAAAUCCUGCAGCAACUACAGUUGACCCUCGUCUCCCAGCUCUAUACAAAAAGUUGUCUGACCUGGUGGGUAUUGAUAAGCCAAUUAAUGAGCUGAUAAAGAUCCUGUCCGAGGGGGUUCCCAUGCCUGAUAAAAAUCCCAAGAUAGUCUCUAUUGUUGGAUUUGGAGGACUGGGAAAGACAACCCUUGCAAAAGCAUUGUAUGACAAGCUUAGCAAAACAUAUCAGUGUCAUGGUUUUGUUCCAGUGGGUCAGAAUCCAAAGGCAAAGAAAGUUCUCAGGGACAUCCUGCUUGAACUUGACACUGAGCUAUCCAGAGCCACAGAAACAAUGGCUGAAUGGCAGUUGAUCAACCAGCUGAAGAAAGUCCUUGCAGGCAAGAGGUACUUUAUUGUUAUUGAUGACAUAUGGGAUACACAAACAUGGGAAACGAUUAAGCUUGCUUUCAUGGAUAGUCAUCCACAAAGUAGAUUAAUCAUAACUACCCGUAUUGUUGACGUCGCCACAGAAGCUGGUGGUAUCUAUCACAUGCAACCACUUUCUGAUGAUUACUCCAAAAUGUUAUUCUAUACAAGAACAUCUGAUAGUGAAGGACCUGCUGAAGUGACUACCAAAAUUUUAAAGAAAUGUGGUGGUGUGCCAUUAGCUAUCACUACAAUAGCUAGCUUGCUUGUUGGUAAACACACUGAGGACUGGUCUAAGGUGUAUGAUGCCAUUGGUUUUGGGCAUGCAGACAAUGGAGAUGUUCAUAACACAAGAAAGAUAUUAUCUUUUAGCUAUUAUGAUCUGUCGUCCAAUCUUAAGACAUGUUUAUUGUAUCUUAGUGUGUUUCCUGAAGAUUAUUUAAUUGAUAAAAUAUCACUGAUAUGGAGGUGGGUUGCCGAAGGAUUUAUACCAUAUGGAGAAGGGAUGGAACCAUUUGAACUUGGAGAGAUCUAUUUCAACAAGCUUGUAAACAAGAGCAUGAUACGGUGGAUAGAUCCUGAAGAUAAUGGUGGCCGAGGUGGUUGCCGUGUCCAUGACAUGGUGCUCGAUCUCAUCCGCACCAUAUCAAAUGAGGUAAACUUUGUCACAGUACAUGAUAUGGAGCAUCAAGGCACAUGUCCGGGAGGAAAGUCAACCAACAAGGUUCGCAGAUUAGCAGUUCAUGGAAAUAGUGGGGAACACAACUGUAGCAUUGCAAUGGAGCAUGUAAGGUCAUUUAAUGUUGUUGAGUGCAGUGCCAAUGGUAUGCCCCUGCUCUUGAGCUUUAAAGUAUUGCAUGUGCUAGUUAUUGAGGACUGUGUUUUUUCGGAAGGUAGUAGUCUUGAGCAUCUCUGUAAGUUGGUGCAGUUGAGGUACCUGGGGCUAGUGAAGACAGCGGUCAAGAUCCCGGAAGAAAUAGGGCAUGAUCUGAAGUUUCUUGAGAUAUUGGAUGUAAGGGGAGGUAUGAUAAGUGAGCUGCCGCCAUCUGUUGGUGAGCUAAUGAAUUUGAGGUGCCUGCGGGCUGAUAAAGGUACAGUGAUGAAGGGUGAGAUAGGGAAACUGACAUGCCUUGAAGAGCUGCAGCUAUAUUCGGUGGACAAGUGCCCAAACUUCUUCACAAUGGUGGGAAAGCUGACAAAGUUAAGGGUGCUUAACAUCUUUUUCGGUGAAAUGGAGGAGUCUGCAGGCAAGGCUCUGAUGGUAUCUCUGUGCAACCUUCACAAGAUCCAUAGUCUGACGGUCGUUGAUGAUGGUCGUGAGGCCGAGUAUUCGGUUGUCCUAAAUGAUAGCUUGGAAGACUUGGCACCCUGUACAAAGCUGUACGGAUUAAUUCUGCCUAGCAUAGUUAUACCGAGGGUGCCAUCAUGGAUCAAUCAAUUAACUGUUCCACUCCUUUCUCGUCUAUGUCUGCAUGUGGAUGCGGUAGAAGUUCAGGAUGUUCAAACCAUCGGCAGGUUGCCGUCGCUCCUCUUCCUUCUUCUCUGGAGUAAGGAUGAAAAGAACAUACCAUAUACUUUUGGCAGCAAUGAGUUUCACAAGCUGAGACUCUUGUGCACGAAGAAGAUUGAGAUUGCUGUUGGAGAAGGAGCAUUGCCGAUGCUUGAAGUGCUGAGAUACAGUGCAAGCGCUGAAAGAAAGGACGCUGCCAGCUUGGUGCCGUGGAGGAGAAAUAGCUGCCCUUUGCUGGAGUACGUCGCAUGUUACCUUGACUGCACUAACAGCAGCUACAGGGAAGUAAAGGAAGCAGAGGAAGCGCUGAGGCAGGCUUCCGGCAGCCGUCCCAAUGCUGUGUAUCUCAACCUCAGGAUAGCAAAAGAAAAUUACGACAAGGAGGCAGGUAGAUUCAUUUAUAAACUCGAGGAGGUCCUAGGCGGUUUGGACAGACCGGGGGAGGAGGGCAUUACCGCGGGUGAAGGAGAUAUACGUGACAUGAUAACAUCACUCGAGAGUCUGUUACGUGAUGGUGCCGAGCCUCGCGUCGGGCGGUAUGCUGAACAAGAGUUACGUGGUUUUGUUACCACGUUCAAGAGUUUGUUACCUGAUGCUGCUGCAGGUACCACCAUCAAGGAAGAGCCGGAUAAUGGUGAUGCCACCAGCAGUGCCGAUCAGGAUCAGGAAGGGGCGGCGAGCCACUGUUGAAUCACACGCACGCCGUAUAUCAAGGAUGCUGGGAUCUUGAAGCCUUCUACAGUCCUGUUAUCAUCACUAGGAAGGCAAACUGGCAGGGGAAAUGGCACCAUAGCUUGUUGCUUGCCAAAGUGAAGAAUGGCGUGUGAAGAAGUGAAGAAACUGCAGGCACUGAGUUUAGAGGUCAUGCAUAUAUUUUUGCUACUGAUGCACUGCUCUUUACAACUUGAAUCAUCCAGUCUACAUAUAUAUUUCCGGCUAUAUGUGUGAAUUCUUGGUCCCUUUGCAGGAAACCACAGAUAAAUAUACUCCGCAUACCAAAGGAUUUUGGUUGGGCCCUGCUGAAAAUAAAGUGAGUGCAAACAUAAAAUCAUUUCAGUAGGGAAAGACAACACCUGAGACUCUGAAUAACUCUUUCCAUUCAGCCUCAGCGCCAAUACCUGCAUGCAUUCCCUUACAAAAAACACUUCCAUGCGGCCGGUGAUCGUGCAUUAUCAACGCCAUGGCCAACCUGUUGGCACAAGCCUUGAGAUCACAAUGAGAAAAUCAAUAUCUAUGUUGUGUUUGUUAUUGUAAAUUUACAAAUGUGCCCAGCUAUCUGGUUGUUCCAAGUCUGAACAUACAACAUCAUUUGUUCCUCAUCUAUUUACCACAGGAGUUACCUUUGAAAAUCAA